AUUGAACGCUGGCGGCAUGCCUUACACAUGCAAGUCGAACGGUAACGGGCCUUCGGGUGCCGACGAGUGGCGAACGGGUGAGUAAUGCAUCGGAACGUACCUUUCAGUGGGGGAUAACGUAGCGAAAGUUACGCUAAUACCGCAUAUUCUGUGAGCAGGAAAGCAGGGGAUCGCAAGACCUUGCGCUGAUUGAGCGGCCGAUGUCAGAUUAGCUAGUUGGUGAGGUAAAGGCUCACCAAGGCGACGAUCUGUAGCGGGUCUGAGAGGAUGAUCCGCCACACUGGAACUGAGACACGGUCCAGACUCCUACGGGAGGCAGCAGUGGGGAAUUUUGGACAAUGGGGGCAACCCUGAUCCAGCCAUGCCGCGUGAGUGAAGAAGGCCUCGGGUUGUAAAGGCUCUUUCGGUCC
rnacentral:rRNA from 1 species